UUAAGCGACUAAGCGUACACGGUGGAUGCCCUGGCAGUCAGAGGCGAUGAAGGACGUGCUAAUCUGCGAUAAGCGUCGGUAAGGUGAUAUGAACCGUUAUAACCGGCGAUUUCCGAAUGGGGAAACCCAGUGUGAUUCGACACACUAUCAUUAACUGAAUCCAUAGGUUAAUGAGGCGAACCGGGGGAACUGAAACAUCUAAGUACCCCGAGGAAAAGAAAUCAACCGAGAUUCCCCCAGUAGCGGCGAGCGAACGGGGAGGAGCCCAGAGCCUGAAUCAGUGUGUGUGUUAGUGGAAGCGUCUGGAAAGGCGCGCGAUACAGGGUGACAGCCCCGUACACAAAAAUGCACAUGCUGUGAGCUCGAUGAGUAGGGCGGGACACGUGGUAUCCUGUCUGAAUAUGGGGGGACCAUCCUCCAAGGCUAAAUACUCCUGACUGACCGAUAGUGAACCAGUACCGUGAGGGAAAGGCGAAAAGAACCCCGGCGAGGGGAGUGAAAAAGAACCUGAAACCGUGUACGUACAAGCAGUGGGAGCACGCUUAGGCGUGUGACUGCGUACCUUUUGUAUAAUGGGUCAGCGACUUAUAUUCUGUAGCAAGGUUAACCGAAUAGGGGAGCCGAAGGGAAACCGAGUCUUAACUGGGCGUUAAGUUGCAGGGUAUAGACCCGAAACCCGGUGAUCUAGCCAUGGGCAGGUUGAAGGUUGGGUAACACUAACUGGAGGACCGAACCGACUAAUGUUGAAAAAUUAGCGGAUGACUUGUGGCUGGGGGUGAAAGGCCAAUCAAACCGGGAGAUAGCUGGUUCUCCCCGAAAGCUAUUUAGGUAGCGCCUCGUGAAUUCAUCUCCGGGGGUAGAGCACUGUUUCGGCAAGGGGGUCAUCCCGACUUACCAACCCGAUGCAAACUGCGAAUACCGGAGAAUGUUAUCACGGGAGACACACGGCGGGUGCUAACGUCCGUCGUGAAGAGGGAAACAACCCAGACCGCCAGCUAAGGUCCCAAAGUCAUGGUUAAGUGGGAAACGAUGUGGGAAGGCCCAGACAGCCAGGAUGUUGGCUUAGAAGCAGCCAUCAUUUAAAGAAAGCGUAAUAGCUCACUGGUCGAGUCGGCCUGCGCGGAAGAUGUAACGGGGCUAAACCAUGCACCGAAGCUGCGGCAGCGACGCUUAUGCGUUGUUGGGUAGGGGAGCGUUCUGUAAGCCUGUGAAGGUGUGCUGUGAGGCAUGCUGGAGGUAUCAGAAGUGCGAAUGCUGACAUAAGUAACGAUAAAGCGGGUGAAAAGCCCGCUCGCCGGAAGACCAAGGGUUCCUGUCCAACGUUAAUCGGGGCAGGGUGAGUCGACCCCUAAGGCGAGGCCGAAAGGCGUAGUCGAUGGGAAACAGGUUAAUAUUCCUGUACUUGGUGUUACUGCGAAGGGGGGACGGAGAAGGCUAUGUUGGCCGGGCGACGGUUGUCCCGGUUUAAGCGUGUAGGCUGGUUUUCCAGGCAAAUCCGGAAAAUCAAGGCUGAGGCGUGAUGACGAGGCACUACGGUGCUGAAGCAACAAAUGCCCUGCUUCCAGGAAAAGCCUCUAAGCAUCAGGUAACAUCAAAUCGUACCCCAAACCGACACAGGUGGUCAGGUAGAGAAUACCAAGGCGCUUGAGAGAACUCGGGUGAAGGAACUAGGCAAAAUGGUGCCGUAACUUCGGGAGAAGGCACGCUGAUAUGUAGGUGAAGUCCCUCGCGGAUGGAGCUGAAAUCAGUCGAAGAUACCAGCUGGCUGCAACUGUUUAUUAAAAACACAGCACUGUGCAAACACGAAAGUGGACGUAUACGGUGUGACGCCUGCCCGGUGCCGGAAGGUUAAUUGAUGGGGUUAGCGCAAGCGAAGCUCUUGAUCGAAGCCCCGGUAAACGGCGGCCGUAACUAUAACGGUCCUAAGGUAGCGAAAUUCCUUGUCGGGUAAGUUCCGACCUGCACGAAUGGCGUAAUGAUGGCCAGGCUGUCUCCACCCGAGACUCAGUGAAAUUGAACUCGCUGUGAAGAUGCAGUGUACCCGCGGCAAGACGGAAAGACCCCGUGAACCUUUACUAUAGCUUGACACUGAACAUUGAGCCUUGAUGUGUAGGAUAGGUGGGAGGCUUAGAAGUGUGGACGCCAGUCUGCAUGGAGCCGACCUUGAAAUACCACCCUUUAAUGUUUGAUGUUCUAACGUUGACCCGUAAUCCGGGUUGCGGACAGUGUCUGGUGGGUAGUUUGACUGGGGCGGUCUCCUCCUAAAGAGUAACGGAGGAGCACGAAGGUUGGCUAAUCCUGGUCGGACAUCAGGAGGUUAGUGCAAUGGCAUAAGCCAGCUUGACUGCGAGCGUGACGGCGCGAGCAGGUGCGAAAGCAGGUCAUAGUGAUCCGGUGGUUCUGAAUGGAAGGGCCAUCGCUCAACGGAUAAAAGGUACUCCGGGGAUAACAGGCUGAUACCGCCCAAGAGUUCAUAUCGACGGCGGUGUUUGGCACCUCGAUGUCGGCUCAUCACAUCCUGGGGCUGAAGUAGGUCCCAAGGGUAUGGCUGUUCGCCAUUUAAAGUGGUACGCGAGCUGGGUUUAGAACGUCGUGAGACAGUUCGGUCCCUAUCUGCCGUGGGCGCUGGAGAACUGAGGGGGGCUGCUCCUAGUACGAGAGGACCGGAGUGGACGCAUCACUGGUGUUCGGGUUGUCAUGCCAAUGGCACUGCCCGGUAGCUAAAUGCGGAAGAGAUAAGUGCUGAAAGCAUCUAAGCACGAAACUUGCCCCGAGAUGAGUUCUCCCUGACCCUUUAAGGGUCCUGAAGGAACGUUGAAGACGACGACGUUGAUAGGCCGGGUGUGUAAGCGCAGCGAUGCGUUGAGCUAACCGGUACUAAUGAACCGUGAGGCUUAACCUU
rnacentral:rRNA from 1 species